UGCGUAGGCGGCGGCAUAAGUCAGAAGUGAAAGUUGGCAGCUUAACUGCAAAAUUGCUUUUGAUACUGUGUUGCUUGAAUCACGUUGAGGCUGGCGGAACGUGGCAUGUAGCGGUGAAAUGCUUAGAUAUGCCAUAGAACACCAAUUGCGAAGGCAGCUGGCUAGACGUGUAUUGACGCUGAGGCACGAAAGCGUGGGGAGCGAACAGGAUUAGAUACCCUGGUAGUCC
rnacentral:rRNA from 1 species